rnacentral:rRNA from 1 species
AUUGAACGCUGGCCGAAUGCUUUACACAUGCAAGUCGAACGGUAACAGGUUAAGCUGACGAGUGGCGAACGGGUGAGUAAUACAUCGGAGCGUGCCCAGUCGUGGGGGAUAACGUAGAGAAAUUUACGCUAAUACCGCAUACGAUCUAAGGAUGAAAGCGGGGGACCGUAAGGCCUCGCGCGACUGGAGCGGCCGAUGUCAGAUUAGGUAGUUGGUGGGGUAAAGGCCUACCAAGCCGACGAGCUGUAGCUGGUCUGAGAGGACGACCAGCCACACUGGGACUGAGACACGGCCCAGACUCCUACGGGAGGCAGCAGUGGGGAAUUUUGGACAAUGGGCGCAAGCCUGAUCCAGCCAUUCCGCGUGCAGGAUGAAGGCCCUCGGGUUGUAAACUGCUUUUGUACAGAACGAAAAGGUCUGGGUUAAUACCCUGGGCUCAUGACGGUACUGUAAGAAUAAGCACCGGCUAACUACGUGCCAGCCGCCGCAGUAACAC